AAUUCUCAACCUCACCAGUUUUCUGAACUGCGUCGAGGCUUGGAUGUGGGGGUUUGUGCAGGCUGCCUCAGCGCGGUCUGCUCCCCUGAAAUGCAUUAGCGAGGUUCCUACUGGGCUUCCGUCUAUUGGUGUGAUAAUUAUCUACGCCGUGGACAGGGUUCAGACUCGCUUCUAACCGUCCCUCGGGACAAUACCCAUGACA
rnacentral:misc_RNA from 1 species